rnacentral:rRNA from 1 species
CCCUUAGAUGUUCUGGGCCGCACGCGCGCUACACUGACAGAGCCAGCGAGUUUUUUUCCUUGGCCGGAAGGUCUGGGUAAUCUUGUGAAACUCUGUCGUGCUGGGGAUAGAGCAUUGCAAUUAUUGCUCUUCAACGAGGAAUACCUAGUAAGCGUGAGUCAUCAGCUCGCGUUGAUUACGUCCCUGCCCUUUGUACACACCGCCCGUUGCUACUACCGAUUGAAUGGCUUAGUGAGGUCUUGGGAUUGGCUUCGGGGAGCCGGCAACGGCACCCUGUUGCUGAGAACUUGAUCAAACUUGGUCAUUUAGAGGAAGUAAAANUCGUANCA